AUCGCUUCUCGGCCUUUUGGCUAAGAUCAAGUGUAGAAUCUGUGGUAGCAUAACUUGCUUGACAAGCUUUAGUUUUUGUGUUUAAGUGUGAACUAUUAAUGAAGAAAAUUAAAUUAAACUUAUUAAAAGGUGCGUUACUAAGUUUGAGACAGUGUUUGAUUAUUGAAAGCCUAAACUCUCAACCCUCC
rfam:Myotis lucifugus cont2.16765, whole genome shotgun sequence.